rnacentral:rRNA from 1 species
UUUAGAGGAAGUAAAAGUCGUAACAAGGUCUCCGUUGGUGAACCAGCGGAGGGAUCAUUACCGAGUUUACAACUCCCAAACCCCUGUGAACAUACCUGUUUUGUUGCUUCGGCGGUGCCCUCGCUCUCGUGGCGAGGCCCGCCAGAGGACCCAAACAAACUCUCUGAUUUUGAUCUAGGAUUUUACUUCUGAGUGAUAUACAAAAUAAAUCAAAACUUUCAACAACGGAUCUCUUGGUUCUGGCAUCGAUGAAGAACGCAGCGAAAUGCGAUAAGUAAUGUGAAUUGCAGAAUUCAGUGAAUCAUCGAAUCUUUGAACGCACAUUGCGCCCGCCAGUAUUCUGGCGGGCAUGCCUGUUCGAGCGUCAUUUCAACCCUCAAGCUCCGGCUUGGUGUUGGGGAUCGGCAGCCCGGCUUCGCGCCGACGCCGUCCCCCAAAUGCAGUGGCGGUCACGCUGUAGCUUCCUAUGCGUAGUAGCACACCUCGCACUGGAGAGCAGCGCGGCCACGCCGUAAAACCCCCAACUUUUUGUGGUUGACCUCGAAUCAGGUAGGACUACCCGCUGAACUUAAGCAUAUCAAUAAGCGGAGGAAA